CCUUAGCGUCGCGUCCUUUCCUCUCUGCUGGAUGCACCGUCGUUCCCCAUUCCCCUGACCCUCGCUCAUCGGCGCUUACCUCCGCAAGCGAUUCGCACCGGCGACCGGCGAAGAAACGGACGAGGCGAUGCUGGCAACGUUGUAUGCAUCAUGGUUGCCGAUCUCGCUCCAUUUCGCGUGGAUUCAGAAGGUUACUUAUUUUACGGCGCGACCUUUGUUCGACGGCGAUCGGGCCGGCGAUGGCAAAAAUCUAUCUCCAACGUCUACGAAUGGCGACGGGCGCCGGCCAGUGGUCACGCGUCCAAGAGGCCGCCUCUUUUCGAGCUCAUCAACAUCCGUCGGCUUGGGCAACUGCUGCAGACUCAGAUGAUAUACAUUGUGGCCAAAUUAAUAUGCUUUUCGUAAAGAGCAUGAUACUGCUGCUACUGUUCGGUCUAUGAUACAUGACAAGGUCCAAACUUCCAAGGUAUGGUCCUAGAGUUUAAUUUCGUGUAAAGGGUUAUAUAAUCUGGCAAGUCCCGCUUCCACCUACUUACAUGCGGAUACCCAAGGUCGCAUUCUUUUGCGCAUCAAAGGAAAUUGCUGUUCUUUUACAGGCUAUAAGAUGUUUUAUUGUGACAACUACGAUUUGGAUGAAGCGAAAAACAAAAUAAAGUCUGGUGACGCUGCCAUGGAUUUUGUGCGAAGAAUUGGGGCUGAUAUUUUAGUAGUCUUAUUUUUGCCGACAAGAAAUUGGAAGUAUUCGUCCUUAUAAGAAGGGUCAUUCAUGCAGGUGGAGCCCUUAUCUGAUCUGGUGCAAGGAAAUGAAGCUGUUGAAACAGUAGAAAAGAUAUGUACAGAUGUACUACGGCAUAGUCCAAUAUUCAAAACAUCCAAACAUGACUCAAAUCAUUUUAUUUAUAUAAAAGGUCCUUUAUUAACUAUAAAGAAAAGCUGAAGGGGUCUAAUGAAACCUUAGUCAAGUAGUUUGUGGAAUUAAACUUAUCAUGGUUAUUAAUGUGCCUCAACUUUUUUUUUCUUGGUGCAGGGUAUGUACGAGGACAAAAUUAUUUAUCUACAUCUGCAGGAGGCCCAGUUAGGAAAACUCGCACUACUUAAUAUCAAAUGAUUGUUCAUUUGUUCUAAUAUAGAAUGAAUCUGCACCUAUGGAAAAGAUACCCAAAUAAUAAUCAGGGCAUGUUCUAAUGAAGAGAAAAGACUCUGGAGUGUCAAUGGGUAUAGCUUCUGUUGUGUAUCUUUCAGCAGAGUAGAAAAAGGUGUCUACAAAUUUCAGCAUUCCAUGUGGUUUACAUAGACUACUAGUGUUGUUAGUUUGAUUCUUGUUUUCAUAAAUGGGUUAACUACCAACACGACGGACUAAAACAGAUGCUCGGGAAGAUAUCGACAUGUGAUUUAUGUGUUUUCUAUGAUGAGGAUCCAUAUAGCCCUACCAUUUGGUCCCAGCAUGCAUUCUGAUGAGUCGAGGAUGGCUAUUCUUAAGAGACAGAAUUAUGGACAUGCUUGGUUCUGCAGUAUUCAGCAGAGUUGGCGCGUGCGCAAGAGACCAAAGAGGCUAUUUUUAUCAAGGCAUCGCUUCAUUUGUUGCUCAAGUAUGGCGUCGAGCUUAAGCAAAUCUGACAACAAGAGGAUGUUAUUGGGAUGGUCAGAAGUUAUUCUGGAAUCCAACUCAAUCAUAAAUUGUUGCUCUUCCACCGGUAUGAGAAUGUUUUUCAUGGCCAAAACCAAAAUCUAAAAUCUUGGAUUUUGGUUAAGAUCAAAGUUGGCUGAAGCUAGCGCUAGAAUAGUGGCGAUGGAUGAUGCUAGGAUGGUGGUUUUUACUGCCUAGCAUGGCAUGUUCUUACAACUGUAUGGAUCCAGAAGAAGCUAUAGCCCUUGCAAGCUGGGAGGGUGCUAGCUUUGCCAAUGACUAUCGAGAUGGAUUGCCACAACCUUUCCCUCAAACAUUGGUAGAAUUUCGGCACGCGUGUAACCUUUCUGUGUACAUUUUAGCUAAGUUACGUAAUUACUCCAUUGUGAUUCAUGAAGUUUGAUGUUUCCUGAACUAGGAUGGAGUCCUGUUCAUUUUUUUAUCACCUCUUGAUCAUUCUCCUCAUGAAUUUUAUUAUAUGAAGAAAUGUAAAAGGGAAAGCAAACUAUGUGAGCAUAUCAGUUCAAAUUUUGAACACUAUGAUCCAACGGCUA